GCCAUACUCGUCCUAAAGCUACAGGUGACUUUCCAGGUGUGGCUGAGGUUCUCUGUCUUCUGUCUUUCUAUUAUGGAUACUUUAUGAGUGAGGUUUUAGGUAACUGUGUUGGUUUCUUGGCAGAAGCAGAAAUUAUUCCAGGAAUCAUGAUUCUAUUGCCCCUCGAUAAUCUUUCUGUUUCCAAGACACAAGUUCUUAGAGUUAUGAUUCCUAAGUGGUCCCAAUUCAUUCCAACUCUUCUGACAGAGGCAAGACUGUAUAUCUCUGGCCUGAAUUCCAGAAUUAGGAUAAAAAUCGACUUUCUCCACUUUCACUUCUUUUGGAGAUGGAGUUCUUUAUUUUGCUCUCUUCUCCCAGGAAACCUUGAAUACCACAUUUCAGUCAUCUUUAAAAGAAAGCCUUUCACAUAUGAAGCCUGA
rnacentral:lncRNA from 1 species